UUAUAUAUUUUUAUUAUAUAAUAUUGUAUGCAUACUAUUAUAUAAAUUAUAUUAUAUACUUAUCAAUUUAUCAUAUUAGAUAAUUUUAAUAUAUUUAAUUCAUAAAAUAUAAGUUACAAUAAUAAUAAUAAUAAUAUAGCUUAAUAAUUAAUAUAAAUAAAUAAUAUAUAGGAUAUAUAAUAAAAAAAUUUUCCUUCCAACCAAACUAGUGAGGCUGAAAAAUUAUUUUCUUUUUCUACAAACCAAACACUAAAACCUGUAAAAAUAAAUUUUUCACGGAAUUUUUUUUUUCACUAAAAAUUUUCUUUUCCAGUUUUAUGUUGAACCCAACAGCCUCUAAGUAAGCCAGUAAGCCCGCAUGACACUUCGAAAUUAUCUUAAGCUUUUUGCUGCAUUAUUGUAGCGGAACUAUCUAUCUAUUACUAUAUACUAAAGUCGUGGAGCACUCGUUAGAGUGGGCUGGUAUGUUUCUGGAAGCACGGAGCCCUCCGUGUUUCCAAGUUAUUUUCGAUGUUGGGACUUUCGAAUCGACGAUCGGCUCCGUUAGAGUUGAUCUAGAGUAUUUGAAAUGCCUAGAAAUAAAUUUUGUGAUUUUUCAAUAUCAUUUGCCUAGUGAUCGAAGGGGCUCAAAAUCAAUCAUUUUAAUGGCCGUGGUGAGCCGUUUGCAAAUUUAACGGUGUAGAAAUAUUCAAAUCACAUGAAAUUUUGAUAGAAAAUUCUUUAUACCAUAUAAAACAAGAUCAAUAACUUUGAUCUAAAAUUUUAAUGUCAUAUCAUCAUAUUCUGUAAGAUUUUUAUUUUCAGCUGUUGAUUUUGAGCCACUUCGAUCACUAGGCAAAUGAUAUCGAAAAAUCGCAAGAUUUAUUUUCUAGAUACUUCAAAUACUCUAGAUCAAGUCUAACGGAGCCGAUCGUCAAUUUGAAAGUCCGGACAUCGAAAACAACUUGAAAGCGCAGAGCGCUCCAUGCUUCCAGAAGCAUACCAGAUUCACUCCACUCGUUGAAUAUCUAUUUAUAUAUAUAUAUAUAUAUAUAUAUAUAUAUAUAUAUAUAU
rnacentral:lncRNA from 1 species